CAGCCGCCACGGGAAUACGAAGGGUGCAAGCGUUAAUCGGAAUUACUGGGCGUAAAGCGUGCGUAGGCGGUUUGUUAAGUCUGCUGUGAAAUCCCCGGGCUCAACCUGGGAAUGGCAGUGGAUACUGGCAAGCUAGAGUGUGUCAGAGGAUGGUGGAAUUCCCGGUGUAGCGGUGAAAUGCGUAGAGAUCGGGAGGAACAUCAGUGGCGAAGGCGGCCAUCUGGGACAACACUGACGCUGAGGCACGAAAGCGUGGGGAGCAAACAGGAUUAGAUACCCCAGUAGUCCCUGUCUCUUAUAA
rnacentral:rRNA from 1 species